AGUCACUGACAUUAGACUACCCGGUAGUCCAGGGUGUAAACGCUGCAGACUUGGUGUUGGGGCCCUUUGGGGGCAUUCAGUGCCGGAGAGAAGUUGUUAAGUCUGCUACUUGGGAGUACGUCCGCAAGGAUGAAACUUAAAGGAAUUGGCGGGAGAGCACCGCAACGGGAGGAGCGUGCGGUUUAAUUGGAUUCAACACCGUAAACUCACCAGGGAAGACUGUUACAUGAAGGCCGAGAUGAAGACUCUGCUAGAUUUUCAG
rnacentral:rRNA from 1 species